UUGCUAUCCAACACAGUUAAUUCAUCAAUACUUUUGAUUUUUUCUAUGUCAAGCGAAAGCGCGUUAAGCCGUGCAUUUGCCAUAGGUUUUAAGAUAUUGAACAUAUCACUAAUCAUUACAAACAUUUGUGAAUUUCUUGUUUCUGUUUUUUACGAUUCGCACGACACAAGGAACAGCAUGUGUGAACUCGUUCGCACUGCUUCUGAUUUUCACCAACUGGUUCUGUUAUGUUGCUGUGCUCCACUGUAUCAUCAUAUUCUAUCGGUUCAUCAUUAGAAUUUGUUCGAUCAACCAUAUCAACGGAAUCAUGCUGGGUCGGCGAAACAAUGGGCACUGUGGUUGUUUUUACCGUGGCUGUUUUCGACGAAGGAAACGCAGUUUUCAAGUCCGAUGGCGACCCAGUAACACGAGGACAAUAUCACUGUUUUGCAAACACACAAACGAUGCACGGCUGUAAAAUACUACAUUAGAGUUCCACUAUUCAAAUAACUCCGACGCGUUCAACUAUUUGGCCGAUAUGAAAUUGUAAACAGAGUUUGAUUUGACAGCUUUGAAUAAACGC